GGUUAAGUUAACAAGGGCGCAUGGUGAAUGCCUUGGCACUAGGAGCCGAUGAAGGACGGGACUAACACCGAUAUGCUUCGGGGAGCUGUACGUAAGCUAUGAUCCGGAGAUUUCCGAAUGGGGCAACCCAGCAGUUUUAAUCAACUGUUACCACUAGAUGAAUUCAUAGUCUAGUUGGAGGUAAACGCUGUGAACUGAAACAUCUCAUUAGCAGUAGGAAUAUAAAGAAAUUUCGAUUCCCUAAGUAGCGGCGAGCGAACGGGGAAUAGCCCAAACCAAAGUGCUUGCACUUUGGGGUUGUAGGACUGAACAUUUGAGUUACCAAAGAACUUGAUAGUCGAAGGAUUUGGGAAAAUCCGCCAUAGAUGGUGAUAGCCCAGUAGAUUAAAUCAAAUUCUCUCAGUUCAGGAUCCUGAGUACGGCGGAACACGUGAAAUUCCGUCGGAAUCCGGGAGGACCAUCUCCCAAGGCUAAAUACUACCUAGUGACCGAUAGUGAACCAGUACCGUGAGGGAAAGGUGAAAAGCACCCCGGGAGGGGAGUGAAAUAGUUCCUGAAACCAUGUGCCUACAAUAAGUCAGAGCGCGUUAAUGCGUGAUGGCGUGCCUUUUGUAGAAUGAACCGGCGAGUUAUGAUCCCGUGCAAGGUUAAGACUAAAAAGUCGGAGCCGUAGCGAAAGCGAGUCUGAAAUGGGCGAUUUGAGUACGAGGUUAUAGACCCGAAACCAGGUGACCUAUCCAUGUCCAGGUUGAAGGUGCGGUAAAACGCACUGGAGGACCGAACCCGUGUAAGUUGAAAAUUGCUGGGAUGAGGUGUGGAUAGCGGUGAAAUUCCAAACGAACUUGGAGAUAGCUGGUUCUCUCCGAAAUAGCUUUAGGGCUAGCCUCGGAUUAAGGAUCAUGGAGGUAGAGCACUAUUUGGACUAGGGGCCCGUCUUGGGUUACUGAAUUCAGAUAAACUCCGAAUGCCAUUGAUUCAUGUCCGGGAGUCAGACGAUGAGUGAUAAGAUCCACCGUCGAAAGGGGAACAGCCCAGACCAUCAGUUAAGGUCCCUAAAUGUAUGCUAAGUGGAAAAGGAUGUGGAGUUGCAUAGACAACUAGGAUGUUGGCUCAGAAGCAGCCACCAUUUAAAGAGUGCGUAAUAGCUCACUAGUCGAGUGAUCCUGCGCCGAAAAUGUACCGGGGCUAAGCAUACUACCGAAACCAUGGAUGCGACCAUUAGGUCGCGUGAUAGGAGAGCGUUCUAAGGGCGGUGAAGCAAGAUCGUGAGGACUUGUGGAGCGCUUAGAAGUGAGAAUGCCGGUAUGAGUAGCGAAAGAUAGGUGAGAAUCCUAUCCACCGAAUGACUAAGGUUUCCUGGGGAAGGCUCGUCCUCCCAGGGUUAGUCGGGACCUAAGUCGAGGCCGAGAGGCGUAGACGAUGGAUAACAGGUUGAGAUUCCUGUACUAGUUAAGUGCGUUUGAGCAAUGGAGGGACGCAGGAGGCUAAGAUGUGCAUUCUGUUGGAUUAGAAUGUCCAAGCAGUAAGUCUUGUGGAGAGUCAAAUGCUUUUCACUUUAAGGACAAGCUGUGAUGGGGAGCGAAAUUUAGUAGCGAAGCGUCUGAUGUCACACUGCCGAGAAAAGCUUCUAGUGAGUACUUAACUACCCGUACCGCAAACCGACACAGGUAGUCGAGGAGAGAAUCCUAAGGUGAGCGAGUGAACUCUCGUUAAGGAACUCGGCAAAAUGACCCCGUAACUUCGGGAGAAGGGGUGCUGAUCGCAAGAUCAGCCGCAGUGAAUAGGCCCAGGCGACUGUUUAUCAAAAACACAGGUCUCUGCAAAAUCGUAAGAUGACGUAUAGGGGCUGACGCCUGCCCGGUGCUGGAAGGUUAAAAGGAUGGGUUAGCUUCGGCGAAGCUCAGAAUUGAAGCCCCAGUAAACGGCGGCCGUAACUAUAACGGUCCUAAGGUAGCGAAAUUCCUUGUCGGGUAAGUUCCGACCCGCACGAAAGGCGUAACGAUCUGGGCACUGUCUCAACGAGAGACUCGGUGAAAUUAUAUUGUCCGUGAAGAUGCGGACUACCCGCGACAGGACGGAAAGACCCCAUGGAGCUUUACUGUAGCUUGAUAUUGAGUGUUUGUACAGCUUGUACAGGAUAGGUAGGAGCCAUAGAAACCGGAACGCUAGUUUCGGUGGAGGCGUUGGUGGGAUACUACCCUCGCUGUAUGACCACUCUAACCCGCACCACUAAUCGUGGUGGGAGACAGUGUCAGGUGGGCAGUUUGACUGGGGCGGUCGCCUCCUAAAAAGUAACGGAGGCGCCCAAAGGUUCCCUCAGAAUGGUUGGAAAUCAUUCGCAGAGUGUAAAGGCACAAGGGAGCUUGACUGCGAGACAGACAGGUCGAGCAGGGACGAAAGUCGGGCUUAGUGAUCCGGUGGUACCGUAUGGAAGGGCCAUCGCUCAACGGAUAAAAGCUACCCUGGGGAUAACAGGCUUAUCUCCCCCAAGAGUCCACAUCGACGGGGAGGUUUGGCACCUCGAUGUCGGCUCAUCGCAUCCUGGGGCUGUAGUCGGUCCCAAGGGUUGGGCUGUUCGCCCAUUAAAGCGGUACGCGAGCUGGGUUCAGAACGUCGUGAGACAGUUCGGUCCCUAUCCGUCGCGGGCGUAGGAAAUUUGAGAGGACCUGUCCUUAGUACGAGAGGACCGGGAUGGACAUACCUCUGGUGUACCAGUUGUGCCGCCAGGCGCAUCGCUGGGUAGCUACGUAUGGAUGUGAUAAACGCUGAAAGCAUCUAAGUGUGAAACACACCUCGAGAUGAGAUUUCCCAUUCCUUUAUGGAAGUAAGACCCCUGAAAGAUGAUCAGGUAGAUAGGUUAGAAGUGGCAGUGCGGUGACGCAUGAAGCGGACUAAUACUAAUCGGUCGAGGACUUAACCAA
rnacentral:rRNA from 1 species